CACCGGAUGUGGGGCUCGAACCCACGACCACAAGAUAACUGGACUUUUUCGAGAUUCUCUCCUGAGAGUAGAUCCCCGUACUAAGAGUCUUGCGCUCUACCGAACUGAGCUAAUCCGGU
rnacentral:tRNA from 1 species